GUCCGCACCGUAAAACGAUGAUUACUCGUUGUUGGCAAUAUGACCGUCAGCGACCAAGCGAAAGCGAUAAGUAAUCCACCUGGGGAGUACGCCGGCAACGGUGAAACUCAAAGGAAUUGACGGGGGGCCCGCACAAGCGGAGGAGCAUGUGGUUUAAUUCGAUGAUACGCGAGGAACCUUACCUGGGCUUGAAAGUUAGUGACCGGUCCUGAAAGGGAUCUUCCAGCAACGGCGCGAAACUAGGUGCUGCAUGGCUGUCGU
rnacentral:rRNA from 1 species